rnacentral:hammerhead_ribozyme from 1 species
AUGCGAAACCGCCCUGCGGGGCGGUCGUCGGGACGUGGCGGUCCCGGCCUGAUGAGCAGCCGAGG